AUGCAGAUCAUCUUAGGAGUUCCAAAAGUAAUUUGUAUUUCUCUAUAAAUACCACUCACUAUAAGCUGGGAGGAAACCAAAAAGCACUGAACAUCAGAGUGAGGAUUAGCUUACAACUAUUAGAGAUUUAGUAAGUAAUGGCUAAGGUUUCUUAUACCUCCUUCCUCAUUCUUGCUAUCGUUGUCUUCUCAGUUGCAUCAUCAAUGGUGACGAAAGCAGACACGCAAGAGAAGCGGUGCGCGGUAACAUUGCAUCCCUCUGGCUGCACCAUCCCAUCUUGUCGUGCUGAGUGCUCCCAAAAAUAUAAUGGCAAUGGAGUAUGUAUAGCAAAAGGUUCUCAGCCCACAUAUGAAUGUGUUUGUUACUACCCGUGCUAGAAUCCUGCUCUUUCCCUAGACGUAUGAUGGUAGUCUGAACACCAUAUUACCAAUAAAAGGCAUGCAUGUCAAUAAAUAAGAUAUUAUUGGGCUCUUUGCUUCCUCA